UGAGCAUAUACAUUUU
rnacentral:rRNA from 1 species